rnacentral:rRNA from 1 species
UACGUAGGUGGCGAGCGUUGUCCGGAAUUACUGGGUGUAAAGCGCGUGUAGGCGGCAGGCCAAGUCGGUGGUGAAAGCGCCCGGCUCAACUGGGCGAGGUCCAUGGAAACUGGUCAGCUGGAGGACGGUAGAGGCGAGUGGAAUUCCCGGUGUAGUGGUGAAAUGCGUAGAGAUCGGGAGGAACACCUGUGGCGAAGGCGGCUCGCUGGGCCGGUCCUGACGCUGAAACGCGAAGGCAUGGGGAGCGAACGGG